GUCAUCAGAUUUUUGAACGUAACUGACACCGGAGGGUACUCUCUUCGGUAUGCUUCUUUCAGUGUGUGAUUCUCUCAUCACCCAAACCUUAAUGCGAUAGAUGCCCUUCUAUUGCUAAACUUGAAAGCACUCUGUACCCUGCAGCGAAAGGCU
rnacentral:rRNA from 1 species